ACGGGAGGUAGCAGUGGGGAAUAUUGGACAAUGGGGGAAACCCUGAUCCAGCGACGCCGCGUGAGUGAAGAAGUAUUUCGGUAUGUAAAGCUCUAUCAGCAGGGAAGAUAAUGACGGUACCUGACUAAGAAGCCCCGGCUAACUACGUGCCAGCAGCCGCGGUAAUACGUAGGGGGCAAGCGUUAUCCGGAUUUACUGGGUGUAAAGGGAGCGUAGACGGAAGGCCAAGUCUGAUGUGAAAACCCAGGGCUCAACCCUGGGACUGCAUUGGAAACUGGUCAUCUAGAGUGCGGGAGGGGUAAGCGGAAUUCCUAGUGUAGCGGUGAAAUGCGUAGAUAUUAGGAGGAACACCAGUGGCGAAGGCGGCUUACUGGACUGUAACUGACGUUGAGGCUCGAAAGCGUGGGGAGCAAACAGGAUUAGAUACCCUGGUA
rnacentral:rRNA from 1 species